UACGUAGGGUGCGAGCGUUGUCCGGAAUUAUUGGGCGUAAAGGGCUCGUAGGCGGCCUGCUAAGUCGGGUGUGAAAACUCUGGGCUCAACCCAGAGCCUGCAUUCGAUACUGACGGGCUAGAGUUCUGGAGGGGAAAGCGGAAUUCCUGGUGUAGCGGUGAAAUGCGUAGAUAUCAGGAGGAACACCGGUGGCGAAGGCGGCUUUCUGGACAGAAACUGACGCUGAGGCGCGAAAGCUAGGGGAGCAAACAGG
rnacentral:rRNA from 1 species